rnacentral:rRNA from 1 species
UACGUAGGGUCCGAGCGUUGUCCGGAAUUAUUGGGCGUAAAGAGCUCGUAGGCGGUUUGUCGCGUCUGCUGUGAAAUCCCGAGGCUCAACCUCGGGCCUGCAGUGGGUACGGGGCAGACUAGAGUGCGGUAGGGGAGAUUGGAAUUCCUGGUGUAGCGGUGAAAUGCGCAGAUAUCAGGAGGAACACCGAUGGCGAAGGCAGGUCUCUGGGCAUUAACUGACGCUGAGGAGCGAAAGCAUGGGGAGCAAACAGG